AGAUCUCUUACGGGGUCACCGAAAAACGUGUGUUUUUACGUGUGUCCCUGCCCUUAACUCGGGGAUACCCCUGGAAAACUGGGUCUAAUACCAGAUAUGACUCCUCAUCGCAUGGUGGGGGGUGGAAAGCUUUUGUGGUUUUGGAUGGACUCGCGGCCUAUCAUCUUGUUGGUGAGGUAAUGGCUCACCAGGGCGACCACGGGUACCCGGCCUGAGAGGGUGACCGGCCACACUGGGACUGACACACGGCCCACACUCCUACGGGAGGCAGCAGUGGGGAAUAUUGCACAAUGGGCGGAAGCCUGAUGCAGCGACCCCGCGUGAGGGAUGACGGCCUUCGGGUUGUAAACCUCUUUCAAUAGGGAAGAAGCGAAUGUGACGGUACCUGCAAAAGAAGCGCCGGCUAACUACGUGCCAGCAGCCGCGGUAAUACAUAGGGCGCAAGCGUUAUCCAGAAUUAUUGGGCGUAAAGAGCUCAUACGCGGUUUGUCGCGUCUGCCGUGAAACUCCGGGGCUCAAC
rnacentral:rRNA from 2 species